GUCCCCGUGGCCUAAUGGUUAAGGUGUCGGAUUCCGAAUCCGGAGAUCGCGAGUUCGAAUCUUGCCGGGGACU
rfam:Dacryopinax sp. DJM-731 SS1 chromosome Tnknown DACRYscaffold_5, whole genome shotgun sequence.